rnacentral:tRNA from 1 species
UGGCUCAGUGGUAGAGUGCUUGCCUCACAAGCAUGAGGCCAUGGGUUCCAUUCCUCU